rnacentral:misc_RNA from 1 species
AAAGUCGUAACAAGGUUUCCGUAGGUGAACCUGCGGAAGGAUCAUUAUCGAGUUUAGGGUCUUCUGGGCCCCAUCUCCAACCCUUGUCUAUCCUACCACAUUGCUUUGGCGGGCCCGCCCUUAACCGGGCCGCUGGGGGAUAUUCGUCCCUGGCCAGCGCCCGCCAACGGCCCCCCAAAAUUCCAAUAAACAGUGAAAUGUCUAAAUCUUUACAAGAAUAAAUUUAAAACUUUCAACAACGGAUCUCUUGGUUCUG